rnacentral:rRNA from 1 species
GAAUUUUAUAUAAAUUUAUUAAGUAUUUGAUUUGAUAAUAGUAAUACGGAUUUAUAUUUAGUUGGGGGGAUUGUUAAAUUAAUAAAACUUUGAUUGGAAUAAAACAUUAAUUAGUGGUUUAAAUUAAAAUAUGAAUUAUUAUUAAAUUAAAGUAGAAUAAAUUACCUCAGGGAUAACAGCGUUAUAUCUUUAAAGAGUUCAUAUUGAUAAAGAUGUUUGC